rnacentral:rRNA from 1 species
AGGGUUUGAUUAUGGCUCAGGAUGAACGCUGGCGGCGUGCUUAACACAUGCAAGUCGAGCGAAGCACCUAAGAAAGAUUCUUCGGAUGAAUUCUUUUGUGACUGAGCGGCGGACGGGUGAGUAACGCGUGGGUAACCUGCCUCAUACAGGGGGAUAACAGUUAGAAAUGACUGCUAAUACCGCAUAAGACCACGGUACCGCAUGGUACAGUGGUAAAAACUCCGGUGGUAUGAGAUGGACCCGCGUCUGAUUAGCUAGUUGGUGGGGUAACGGCCUACCAAGGCGACGAUCAGUAGCCGACCUGAGAGGGUGACCGGCCACAUUGGGACUGAGACACGGCCCAA